GCCAUCUUUUGUCCGACCAUUUUUGGCUUCCCCCCCCCCCCCACGGAUUCUUGGCGGGCACUGCUGCCACUUUGGGCAUGUUUCCGUCAUUUACCUUUGGAUUAAUGAAUUAAUAAGCCCAGGAAGUAACCUGUAAGAGCGACACACAGAAACAAGAAGAGGCCAGGUGCUGUGAGGCGACAGCGCGGGGAUCGACAGGUGUUCAAACGACAACAGUGGCUGUGACACACACAAGAGUCUCCAGGAGCUUGAUAUGGAGCUUAUGGGGAAAAGGAGGAAGAUCAAUCCGGGUGUCAGUAGCUCAGCACACAUCUCUCCCAGUAACGGCAGGACAAGUGUCAGCUGGAGGAGAGGCAGCCGCCAUGCAGAGACGGAGAGAGAGAGAGAGUGUCAAAGAGCACCUCGGAGCUGUCACGGCCCGCCUGCCGCACAGGGAAGGAACUUCCCUCCAGUCCUCGCCGUUACCCAAAAGGCACCUGGACAGGAGAGAGCAUCGCGGGGAGCAACGGUUGAUGUGAGGGAAAGACAAUCAGGGCUAAUGUCGGCUCCCGUGUCUGGUUCAUGAGGACAGGAGGAGCCUGGGAUCGAAGCACCGACCUCACAAUGGCCAACCCACUCUACUCAGCAUUAACAGUGUGUGUGUGUGUGUGUGUGUGGCCUUCAGGCCUCUCCUAGCCUGCUCCUGCCCCGAUGGGAGGGCCGCCUGUAGCGAGGUGAACCAUCCCUCUGAACCACCCACCCCCUCCCUCCUCUCUCCCUUACUCCUCCAUGUCUCCCCGGAGUGGACCGACACCUCUCCGCUGGCCAGAGGGAAGACCAGCGCCUCUCCUGGGCCUCCUUCCAUGUCUCCAAUCAGCUCUCGCUGCCAUGGCCCUAGGGCUGCUUCGAUGUGAUAAUCUCUGCCUUUUGCGUUAUGCAUUGCCCUGAUGAAUUCAUCUUGUGACCACCUGGCACUCGCUGUUAGGAAUUCAAGUGUUGUUUUUGCAGCAGAGGCUGGGGCGAACGCUGUGAGGGACUGUUUUCUGACUGUCAGAGGAGACCCUCUUCUCCGCCCUCCCCCUUCUCUUCAUCUCUCCUCCUCCAACGUCGGCAGAAUGUUUUAACCUCUCAGAAGACCCUGGCGUAUCUGCUGUUGUGGUGGCAGGAGUGGGAUUCUUCACCUCGGCAGGACCUGUGUGGGAAAAAGCCCUGCUUGGUAUUUAAAAACGGAAGGGCUUUUUGCUGUAAGACAAAUUGAAACGCAGGAGGCCAGAGAGGAAUGUGGCUGUCAGAGUCAACAGCUGCUAGUUUUUCGCUGUGAAUAAUCACUGAGGUUGACCCAUGGAAGCUGUGGAUUGUGUAACACACAUUUCACAAAAUUAAAGGUCAAUGCAAACAUA